CAGGUCCAUGUUUCCUUGGGGAGAAGGGAAUCAGGGAGGGAUUAUAAAGAGACAGGAGGAAACCUUUGCAGUGAUUCACGCGUGUGCUGUCUUGAGAGCUAGUGAUGGCUUCACUUCUUGAUUGUUGUGACGGCUUGAUAUAGUGGUUAUGUUUACCUGUUAAAACAUCAAAUUAAGCCCUGUCAAUGUGUAGAGUUUGUAGUAUGUAAACUAUAUCUCAGUAAAACUGUUAGAGCUGCCUGGAAGAGCCAUCGCACAGGAUAUGUUUUCUGUGUACAGUUGGAAGUGGUGAUACUCAGCAUAUCAUCCCUAUACUUGGGUUCAUGAGGUUUAUGAAUUCAUGGAGCAUCAUAUGGGCACAUCUCCAGAACAUUCUAAGCCUGCAGUUGGAGAUUGACUUUGAGGUAAAGAAGGUGUCGGUAGGAUCACCUUUUGACAGCUCAGGUUCUCUUGACACACAUCCAAUCUAGUCUUGUGUUCAGUGCUCUUGGGGUAUGGUUUAAAGCCAAGGAGAUUCUAGUCCUUAGAGGAACAUAUGAGUCUAAUGGAAAAAAUAAGUCAGCCUCAACAUAAAAUGAUUCAACAUAAAAAUCAUAUAGUAAAUUUAAGUCUUAGUUCAAUUCCGUGAUCUGAUUUGGAAUUACUGUGUCAUUUAUAAAACUGGGAGGCCAUACUUAUCCUGUCCCUUUUGGAAAUGCUAUAAGCAUCAAAUAAUUAGAUAAUUAUGGGAAAGUUUUUGAUAACUACUGGAAUGUCAGAUGUUAUUAGGUGCACACAGGAGAGGUAGGAAGUGAAGACUGUAUGGUUAAGGAUUGGUGGGUAUAUCAGAAACUCCUGGAGCAAGUAGGGAAAACAGAAGGAGAAAGGGGUUCCAGAAGGCAAAUUAACUAUAGAGUUAUACUAGCCAGCCUAAAAGAAGAAAAACCUGGGUCAAACUUAUCAAUACGGAACAUAAUUGGAGAUCAAUUUAAUUUAAUUAGUUUGAGGUAGUUUGUCAUUUCUUGGACUGUCCAGAAACCAUUCCCUCUUGCUAAAAGCACUGGCCUUUUCUUUGGGGGCAACCCUACAGCUGAUAUUCUUGGUGAAGAGGAAUCCAGUUGCCUGUGUCUUGAACCCAGUCCUAAGGGGCUGAGAUUGUUGACCAGUGUGUCCAUCUCACAGCCUUUCCUUCUCAUGAGACCAGCAUCUCUCCUUACUCUAGGAACUGUUUCUUCUCCAGGUGCUCAUGUGUGUCUAGGGAACUUCCUUGUGUUCACGUCAUCCCUAUCCACAGCCCCUGGGUGAUGGCUUUAGAAAGGCUUGGCUUGGGUCAUCACCCUCAGGGUCCUUUCCUAGCCCUCUUUGAACUGGCACUAAAAUAAGAGAGGUGGACCUUCUCCGAAGGUAAAAGCUAUGAAACAUGAGGUGUGGGAACUGUCUUCAGCACCUGCACUGUCAUGUGGAGGAAGUUGAAUUGCAGUAAAAGAGCAGAGGAGAAGUGGGGAGAAAGCCCUGGCAGCAUCCCAGGCUCUUCCUGCCUGAUGCAUUCCCAGCCCCACUAUGGUUUGGUUACUCAACUCUUCUUUUGCUUACAUGAUUUAUUUUGUACUCUAAGAAAAAAAAAAAAUCCUCAUCUUUUCUGCCUCACCAUUUUUUGAAUUGAGUUUAUGUCACUUGCCACAAAAUUUUCUACUUAAUAAAAAGAGACUAUUAAUUUUUUCUUUUUUUCCCCUUUCUUCUUUGUUUUUUUUUCUUUUAUUUUUACAGCCACACCUGUGGCAUAUAGAAGUUCCCAGGCUAGGGGUUGAAUCAGAGCUGCAGCUGAGGCUUACACCACGGCCACAAUACCACCAGAUCUGAGCCACAUUUGUGACUUACGCUGCAGCUUAUAGCAACACCAAAUCCUUACCUGCUCAGUCAAGCCAAGGGAUUGAACCCACAUCAUCAUGAAGACUAUGUCCUAUCUUAACCUGCUGAGCCAUAAAGGAAACUCCAAGAAUGUGAAUUUUGAAGAUUUAGUUAACUAUUGAACACCUUCUAUUUUCCUACUGCUUUCACAUAUCUCCAAUGAAAUCUGCUUAGAAUGGUGGAAUUAUUUCAUUGUACAGAUGGGGAAACUGAAACUGAAGAAGUUAAUAGAGUCAGUAAACAGGCAGUAGCACUAAUAAUAAUCAGAUUCAGGAUUCUAAUCAAAUUCGUCAAUUCUAAAAGCAUCUAUACUCUUACUACUAGACAUAUUGCCCUCCGGUGAACACAAGCUCUUCCAGGACCAAAUCUUAUCUACCCUGGUAUUUUCAGAACCUUGAAAAUAUCUUGUGACCUAACGGCCAUCUUAUACAUGUUUGUUGAAUGAGUGAAAUGUGAAGUUUAAUUAAAAUAGUCCUGAGUUCAAAGAACUAGGAGGACAGGGCCAAGCAGGAGUUGGCAAUCUCUGCAAAUUAAGGUGUUUUACGUAGCUGGUGUCUGCUCAAAGUUGGGCUCAAAUUAAAUUUCCCUGAACCUGGUAAUAUUUCAAAUGCAGACAAGAACUUGCUUGCUAGAGGAACACAGAUGAGUCCUUUUAAAAUAAUAAUUAUGCCCUCUUUUUAACAUCUACAUACAUCUAGAUUUUUUUUCAUGUUAGGUUUAUUUAAAGCAGGAUUUGUGGACCUCUGGGCUAUAUAUAUUCUCUGGACUAUAUAUUUGGGCUUCAGAUCCGUUUUGUAGAGUUGGCACAAUGUUAAAAAAAAAUGGAAAUAAUUGCCAAUAUUUACAAGCAGGACUUUUUAAAUAGAAGUCUGAAGUUUGGGUUUCUUUAAAGAAUGUGGUGACACAGAGCUUUUGUCAAUAUGUGGCCUAAUCAGCUGAAUGAAGGAAGGGAUGAACCCUUUUUGGUCAGAAAGUCCACAGAAUCCCCAUCUGAUUCCCUCAUGUUACUUACCUUUCUGUGUGCAUUGGCAUCAGCAACUCCUGGUUUAAGAUGCAUUAUCUCUCUCUAGGUCCAAUAGAGCAUGGGAGAAGCACAUAUAGAGUGGAAAGAUUCAACUCCAUGGUCUUCCCAAAGAACUACAAAAUCCUAGGGCUAGCAGAAGUAUUUUUAAAAGGCAUAUAUUUUCCUGACUAUCUGGAAAUCUCUAUUUGUUAAGUGCCAGUAAGUUACUUCUCCCACUGAUUCACUUGGUUGAGCAAUGAACUUGCCUUCUCACUGGCAUAUUUACCAGAAGCAGUGGACUCAUCCUCUAAAUUAUUUUCUAGUAAUCUUCCCUAAUGGCAUUGAAGUGCAAAUCAGAAUGAAUGCAAAACCAAGAGUUUGGAACUCUGGACAAUUAGCAAACUCAUUUGUCGACUUGCCAAAGAAGAAAUGCUGGUGUGGAAGAGAAAAACACUUUGUCACUUUAAUGGCAUCUGGACUGUCCUUUUGCUGUGCUUCAUUGUGUUAUUUUGGCUUUGGUUUCUUAUGAUGUAACCUUGGUGGAGUUAGCAAAAAAAGAAGACUUAAGACUGAUUUAAAUCCCCCUUCAUCUUAUUUAUGAGUCACCUCUUUUAGACCCUACAACACCUGUACAUGCUAUAUAGUAGAACACAGAUGUUAAACACAUGGAUCAGAGCCAGAAUAACCAGGUUCUUAUACUGACUGGAGCAAGGUCUUGUGGAUGCUUCUGCUAAUGUCUCAGCUGUGUUAUAAAAAAUUUGUAAGUUAAGUGUGUAAGUUCUGAUGUCAUACUGUCUGGGUUUGCAUCCUGACUCUAUGACUUGCUGUCUGUGUGUCCUUGAGCAAGUAAUUAAUUCCUUUGUCUCAGUUUCUCAGUUUCUUCAACUUUAUGUAGGGAUAAGGACUAUAGCAAAUCCUUCCCAGGACCACUGUGAAUAUUGUCAAAGUAUAAUUUCCAAAACUUUAAGACAUUCUCGUGUGUGUGUGUGUGGUGUGUGUGUGUGUGUGUUGUAAGAUUGUAGCAAAGGUUUAUUUUACAAUACUGGAACCAGAAGGAUGACAAACUGGUUUAAAGGAGGAUAAAGAAAUAGAUACAUAGUCAUUGGAAAAGAGAAAGAAUGCUCCCAUAGGACAGCAAUAUUUGAUACAAAACUGGUUAAUAUCCUACAAGCAAAACAACCUUGAUCUUUAGGGUUAUCUUUUCUAUCAGACAAAAGUAACUUACAAAAAUCAUUUGUAACGUGUCAGUUUCCUAACAGUUAAAAAUUAGCUAUGCAAAGCCUCGACCUGAACAACAGCAAAUUCCAAGUCAAAGUUAUCUCCUCUACAAAAUCAUACCACCCUUAGGCAGGUCAUUAGAAACCACUGAGUGAGCCUUUGAAAACCCAUGUUGGAGUCUUUUUCCCUUAUGUGCAAGUUUUAGAUAAUUUUACUCAAAGGGAUUAAAUUAAAUAAGGCUCAUAAAGUCCCUUAGAAUGGUGCCUACCAACUGUUCAGUAACUUUUAACAUGUUUUCAUCAUUACUUCUGAAAUGUGGUGGUUAUGAUAAUAAGACUAUAUAGACUCUUAUCACCACGCCUGGCACAGAGUAAGCCCUCAACAAAUAAGAGCUGUUGUUGUUGGUUGCUAGAAUGUCAGACACUGUACAACCAUAUUGUAUAGCUAUAUUGAGAAUCUAUGACAGCAACUGGGCACGCUAUCACAAGUUCUGUAAAUUUGGACAUUAUUAACCUUUAAAGAAUGCCCAACAUUCAAGAAGUUUCAAUUCCAAUGCUAUACAUUCUUAUCAAGUGGCCUUAAUGUGUUCUAAGUUAUCUGAGAAAUACUUGAAACCCUUCAGGAGAAAGGCUCUUCCUAGAAUAAUCAAUCUGUCAAUCAACCAGUCAGAUGUCCGUGGACUCACAUUGACCAGUCUGGCUUCUGUGGUCUUAUUUCAUAGAAUACAUUUUCACAGGAAAUAAAUGAGUUAUCCACUUUCUUGUAAGUAGUGUUGAGUGAGGGUGUCUGUCUUCAAGUCUGUGCAUUAGAUGUGACAGGUUGCUUAUUCUCAAAUGCACCGUGUGGGAGAUAUGAGCUUUACUGCACUGGACUAUGCCUACUCUCUGUGAUCUUGUCUUCUCCAUAGAAUGCCAAGACCUGAAAAGUGUUUUGCCCAGAUUAAGAAAUGAGAACAGGAGUUCCUGUUGUGGCUCAGAAGGUUAAGGACCAGAUGUUGUCUCUGUGAGGAUGUGGGUUCGAUCUGGCCUCACUCAGUGGGUUAAGGAUCUGGCAUUGCCAUGGGCUGCAGUAUAGGUCACAAAUGCAGCUCAAAUCUGGUGUUGCUGUGGCUCUGAUGUAGGCUGGCAGAUGCAGCUCCAAUUUGACCCCUAGCCCAGGAACUUCCAUAUGCCUUGGGUACG
rnacentral:lncRNA from 1 species